AUGAGGCAGAAAUUGGUGGAGUCUGGAGGGGAUGUGAGAACACCUGGGGAGUCCCUCCGUCUCUCCUGCCAAGCCUCUGGAUUCACCUUCAGCAGCUAUGAUAUGUUCUGGGUGAGACAGGCUCCAGGGAAAGGACUUGAAUUGGUGGCAUACAUAAGCUAUAAUUCUGGCAGAAUUACCUAUCCUGACAAAGUGAAGGGGCGCUUCACCAUCUCCAGGGACAAUGCCAAAAGCCAGCUGUAUCUACAAAUGAACAGCCUCAAAACCGAAGACACAGGAGUCUAUUAUUGUGCAGGAGGCACAGUGAGACGAAGUGAAUCAGAAGCCAAGCAAAAACCUUCCUUUCUUCACUCUUCAAUGUUAUGGAGCCCCACGUCCUGGUUAGUCAAUGAGGAUUGA